GGGGAUAUAGCCCAGUUGGUAGAGUUCUUGUCUCACAUACAUGAGGACUGGGGUUCAAUCCCUAGCACCACCA
rnacentral:tRNA from 1 species